rnacentral:sRNA from 1 species
AUUAUGACAUAAUAACUAGUGUAGAAAAGUGAAAAGAUGGUGGGCUAAAUCUCUUGAAAAAAGGGUGAUGCCUGAUGAUUAAUGGUUGUGUCCCUAGAAAGGAAUAGAGUUGUCAGUAUAUGAAGCAUUAACACUUGCGAUUAGUUUUGCAAUGUUAGUAGUUGCCAUAUUGAAAU